rnacentral:rRNA from 1 species
CAUGUAGGCGGUCUGCUAAGUUCGGAGUGACAGUCACCAGCUUAACUGGUGAAGGACUUCGAAAACUGGCGGACUUGAGAGCGAAAGAGGGACACGGAAUUCCGGGUGGAGCAGUGAAAUGCGUAGAGAUCCGGAGGAACACCAAAGGCGAAGGCAGUGUCCUGGCUCGUUUCUGACGCUGAGGUGCGAAAGCCAGGGGAGCGAACGGGAUUAGAUACCCCGGUAGUCCUGGCCGUAAACGAUGACCACUAGGCGUGGGAGGGAUCGACCCCUUCCGUGCCGGAGUCAACACAUUAAGUGGUCCGCCUGGGGAGUACGGUCGCAAGACUAAA